UACCAGAUGCCUCCAGUAGGGGGCACACAUACUUAUUGAGCUGCGUUGGACAACACAGCUGCCUUCAAUUAACACAAACAUGAUCUGAGGAAAGACGUGUUACUGUUUGAUACAAAAUGCUCCGCUUGACAGUGGCCUCUGAACUCCUGCUCUAAAUGUGGCACUGCACCUAUGUUGGUGCACUUUAUGAAGCAGUGGCAACACGUCCGACCAAGUGCAGAUGUGUGGAGUCAUGAGUUAUUCCAGGAAUGCAGAUCAACAUCAGCAGCAGAGGAAAUGAAGUGACAAGCUUCCCUUGCAGGUCUGUCUUGAUUGGUCAUCAUCUCAGCAGGUCAUCAAUGUAGUGAUUGAGUUACCAAAGCAUUUGUGAAGGAACACAAUGUGGUGUCUGUCAUUCCUUUUAUUCAGAUAACUGGUCAUCAUUACAUUAUUUCCCAUCAGGUAUUUUGGUGGAUAGACUCCACUCCGACAUAACUUACAGCAAGUAUGGCAAGGAAUGAUCAGAGAUCUGAUGAAAGUAUACACGUAUCCUGAAACCAGUAUCCUGGUUCCAGUCACAGUACUCAAGCUAGGAUGUAUGCUUCUCAAGACCAGGAUCAGUUCUAAUCCAGAUUUCUGAGACCAGGAUAAAGUGUUUACAUGCGUAAAACAUAACUGGGACAGUUAUAUAUUUAUACUUAUACUACAAUGUGCUGGAGACAGCUGCUAUGUUAUCUAUGCUAUAAAUAGCUGACACGAAAACCAAAGUGAAUGAAACACAGAGCUCAUUAAACAGUGUCUUACUUUAGCAACUUGAUUCAGUUUAGUCCCAAAGAUCAGUAAUGUAGUGUGCUUGUUGGAGAGUGUGUGCCAACUGGAAGACUGUGUUUAAGACACGUCAAAAAAGUUUCUUAUUCAAACAAGAAGUAAAGCAAAUUAAACUAUCAGUGUUGUAUACUCACAACUGGGAGCUCAUAUAACUGAAACAGGUAUUUUGACACCGAAGUCAACUGUGUUUGUGGACCUCUAAUGUAGAGGGCAGACCAGCCAAGAGUUUCCCCCAGAGGCUGAGUAAAGUGCUCAUUUCCUUGUCA